UGGGGAAUAUUGGACAAUGGGCGCAAGCCUGAUCCAGCAAUGCCGCGUGAGUGAUGAAGGCCUUAGGGUUGUAAAGCUCUUUCGCACGCGACGAUGAUGACGGUAGCGUGAGAAGAAGCCCCGGCUAACUUCGUGCCAGCAGCCGCGGUAAUACGAAGGGGGCUAGCGUUGUUCGGAAUUACUGGGCGUAAAGGGCGCGUAGGCGGCCUGUUUAGUCAGAAGUGAAAGCCCCGGGCUCAACCUGGGAAUAGCUUUUGAUACUGGCAGGCUUGAGUUCCGGAGAGGAUGGUGGAAUUCCCAGUGUAGAGGUGAAAUUCGUAGAUAUUGGGAAGAACACCGGUGGCGAAGGCGGCCAUCUGGACGGACACUGACGCUGAGGCGCGAAAGCGUGGGGAGCAAACAGGAUUAGAUACCCUGGUAGUCCACGCCGUAAAACGAUGAAUGCUAGACGUCGGGGUGCAUGCACUUCGGUGUCGCCGCUAACGCAUUAAGCAUUCCGCCUGGGGAGUACGGCCGCAAGGUU
rnacentral:rRNA from 1 species